rnacentral:sRNA from 1 species
AUUCGAACCUGCAGCAGGUUCGAGUUGAGCGCAGCGAAACAACGGAGCCGCUCGCGGCGACGGCCCGAAGGGCGAGCGAAGCGAGUCAUCCUGCACGACCCACCA